UCCUGGCUCAGGAUGAACGCUAGCGGCAGGCUUAACACAUGCAAGUCGGAGGGGCAGCACGUCUUCGGAUGGUGGCGACCGGCGCACGGGUGCGUAACGCGUAUAGAACCUUACCUUUACGAGGGAAUACGCCCAGAGUAAAUUGGAUUAAUCGCCCAUAGUAUUAUUAGAUGGCAUCUAUUUGAUUAAAUUAAACUAUUUAGUAGGGUAAAAGAUGGCUAUGCGUUCUAUUAGCUAGAUGGUAAGGUAACGGCUUACCAUGGCGACGAUAGAUAGGGGUCCUGAGAGGGAGAUCCCCCACACUGGUACUGAGACACGGACCAGACUCCUACGGGAGGCAGCAGUGAGGAAUAUUGGACAAUGGGCGAGAGCCUGAUCCAGCCAUGCCGCGUGCAGGAAGACGGUCCUAUGGAUUGUAAACUGCUUUUAUACAGGAAGAAACACUCCCUCGUGAGGGAAUUUGACGGUACUGUAUGAAUAAGCACCGGCUAACUCCGUG
rnacentral:rRNA from 1 species